rnacentral:lncRNA from 10 species
GCUCCAAGAUGGCGGCGGCGGCGGCAGCGGUAAAGACGGGGUUUCUCCAUGUUGGUCACGCUGGUCUUGAACUCCCGACCUCAGGUGAUCUGCCUCAGGCCCGCCUCGGCCUCCCAAAGUGCUGGGAUUACAGGAGCGCAGCUCAGCUGGGCUGGAACUGCCCUCCUGGAACUCCCCCAGCCUACAACCUAGGAGGUGCAGGGACUGAGGCUCAGGCCAAAUCGCAACUCAGACCCAGUGAACCCAAGGCCUGAAGAGAAUUUGGAUUCAUUUACCUUGUUUUGUGGGGACUGGAGAGACAAGUAAACUCUCAGAGUAACUG